rnacentral:rRNA from 1 species
GACGAACGCUGGCGGCGUGCUUAACACAUGCAAGUCGAGCGGUAAGGCCCUUUCGGGGGUACGACGAGCGGCGAACGGGUGAGUAACACGUGGGUGACCUGCCCUCCAGCUCUGGGAUAAGCCCGGGAAACUGGGUCUAAUACCGGAUAUGACUUCAUGACGCAUGUUGUGGAGUGGAAAGCCUUGUGCGGCUGAGGAUGGGCCCGCGGCCUAUCAGCUUGUUGGUGGGGUGAUGGCCUACCAAGGCGACGACGGGUAGCCGGCCUGAGAGGGCGACCGGCCACACUGGGACUGAGA